UGCUACAUCCAUGGCGCCUCCACCUCUUCCUUCCCUCCUCUUCCUCUCCCAACCCACUAACCUCCAGAACCGGUUCCCCUCUCCUCCCUCGACCCCUCCCCUCCACUAGUGCGCCCUAAUCCCCCCUAAUGGCCAUUAGAACCAUAGGUAACUGCUGCCAUUAACGCCCUUAAAUCCGACGAUGCCCCGCUCUCCUCUGGCUCCACCUAACCCUCUAUAAAAGCCCAAGGAGUCUCCCAGGUUCUCCUUGUCCGAAGCCCUCUUCUUUCGGGAGCUAUAUCCCUCCCCAUCCCGAUCAAUUGCUCGGUCGGAGUUCAGCAACUCCGGCGGCCGCUCCACGCCGUCACGGGACUAGACCGAGCCCGGGACAUUGCCCAACGGACUUCCCUCGUCGACAUCUUCAACGUUCUUCUUCUACUUGAUGUCAGGGAGUUUCUUCCACAACUCCGGCGACCUUAUUCCCCAACUCCGGCGACCAACUCCGAUUACGACGAGUGCGAAGGUGAAUUCUACGAGGAGGUAGAACCUACUGCAAAACCGAAG